AACAAUUAAGGAAGCAAAAGAAAAAUCUGAUUUGGCUGUUGCGUUCCUUCUCGAUUAUUGCCGCCUAUAAAAGUAUCCACAUCACCACUACUCUUCCCGGAUUUGAGCUUGUCCUCAAGCUCAAACUCUGGAUAAGCUUGUUGGAAGCGGUCAAUCGGUUCCCAAAUUGCAUCUUCUUCAGCAUAUCUGACCUAGUGCUCUUACUGCUACCGCUUCCUGAAUCCU
rnacentral:lncRNA from 1 species